GACGAACGCUGGCGGCGUGCCUAAUACAUGCAAGUAGAACGCUGAAGGAGGAGCUUGCUCUUGUGCAUGAGUUGCGAACGGGUGAGUAACGCGUAGGUAACCUGCCUGGUAGCGGGGGAUAACUAUUGGAAACGAUAGCUAAUACCGCAUAAGAGUAGCUGUUGCAUGACAUUUACUUAAAAGGUGCAAUUGCGUCGGUUCCAGUUGGACGUGCGGUGUUUUAGCUUGUAGGUGGGGUAGCGGCUUGCCAUGGCGAGGAUGCGUAGCCGGCCUGUGAGGGGGACACGCCACAGUGGGACUGAGAAAGGGGCAGUAGUCAUACGGCGGGCAGCAGUGGGAAACAGUGCAAGAUGGGCCGAAGGCUGAAGCAGCAAUGUCGCGUGCGAGAGGUCGGUUGUCGGGGUGGAACGCGCGUUAGCGUGGGAAGAAGACUGAGUGACGGUAACUGAUAAAGAAGCAACGGCUAACUACGUG
rnacentral:rRNA from 1 species